AUAAUAUUAAUAGACAUAAAUAAAUUACAUGUAUGUGUGUGGAUUUUGCACUGUUUUGGUGAAGUGCAACCUCAGACUUCAGUCUAGUUUGGUUAGGACAGUACAACCUACAAGAACGAUAAGACACAGAUAAAACCACUUUGAAAGCUUUAGGGGAUAUUUUCAAGAUUUUGGCUGACGCUACUUUAGUAAUAGCCUACUUACGUGUAGGUCAUAGGCCUAGAGGGCGUUGACCACGUUGACGCGUGCGCUUGUUGACCAUGUUGACGCUACUAGUAAUACAUGCACAUGUAGAAGUGGCUUGACAACUCUUGAUAAAACUUCAGGUGCUGUACUGAUGUGAUGACGUUUCAGGAUGGUCAUCAACCUCUGAAGGUUGUCAUGCAUGCCAUGAACAGCUCGACCUGUCCGGUUGAACUCUGUGUGGAUAAGCUCUCCCCCUUGUUAAUUAUGAAAGUCAAAGCCCACCUUGAAUCUUUGAAGCUACUCAGUGGCAUGGUCCUCAAGCAAGUGCAGCUUGAGUGUGAUGUUUUCCUCCUUGAGCAACUGCCGGGCUUCAUUUGUUGCGUGCCGAUGGUCUGCAGCUUGCUCAUCUGCUGACUGGGUUGUUCUGAAGAAUAUGGAGAGGUAGUUCCUCCCUGAUUUCUUCAAGACAUUCACAUUUCUGGAUUGGCAGUAAUAGAAGCCAGUGUUCCAGCUUAGCAUGGACCUUGCUCGUAGUCCUGCUUGUCGGCGUGGCAAUAGAUGCAGCAGUAUCUUGCUAUGAAGAUAAGAGUGUAAGAAGCAGGCUCAAGAGAUAAGUGAGUUCCAUUUAAGACCCAAGUGAAAGCAACUCAGAUGUGACAAGGAACAAGAACAGUGGAUGGAGAAAACAGCAGAUGUGCCUGUGUUGAAAGCUGGUGAAGAUAUCCUGCAUCGUGGUGUUAGUGGAUUGACCAGGGAUGAAAUCUCCAAAUUUGAAGAUGCAGGCUACGUCAUGAAUGAUGGCAGACAUUGUCGUUCGGAAGCUGUGCACAUGCCCAUUCAAGGAGAACCAGAUCUAUGAAGCUUCUGAGGAGGCCCUUGCCUGCUUCAACGAGAGAAGCAAGAUGGAGGGACAGUAUCCUGUGGGACUUCCCAGAGAUGAUUCCCGAGAACGUCAAGGAGAUGUCAGUCCUCGCCUCCUUCACCGAGGAAGAUUUCCACAGCAGGAUCUCAAGCAGUGGUUCACACAGGCAAGGAAAAAGGAAAAGACUGCUUCCUCGCUUCUGCCUUACAGUGACGUUAAUCUGUGCUGGGGUGGGGGUGGGUGGGUGUGCUGGACACUAGUGGGCACUGGGCAUGGUACAAUGUACGCGUAAGAUACCCCUCUCAUUUUAGCCAUUGGGAAAUUUGAAUAAAACCUCCAAGUCUGCCUUUUUGUUACUGUCCAAAACUGAAUCAGUAAUAGUGCAUCCUCCAAAAAGUGCAGGGGGGGGUUUCUGGUCAAACCUCAUAAACGAGGGCACUGUUGAUACAACUUUGCUUCAUUAAAAGGACAGUUUUUGGUCCAAUGUCUUUGUUCGUCAUUGUUUUCAUUCCUGAUAAUAUAAGGUUCCUAUGAAUACAAGGCAAUCUGCAGAUGAAAAACCUCUUAUUAACAAGGUCUGACUGUAACGCCCGCUCCUUAGAUUUAUGCCCCAGCCACCCUAUGAGCAAGUCUUUGUGCGUUUGUAUAUUAGGAGGAAAGAGUCCCAUACAUGAGCAUCACUUGACAUCAUGUGCUCAAACCCUAUGAGGCCGGUCUAAGAAAUUUAAAGUAUUGUCUAAUUAAAUGCUGCAAUAUUUUUGCUGCUAAAUUUGAAUAUUCAGGGUGUGUUAUUACUUUCCGAUGGCUGAUUUAACACACAGGGAAAAAUAGUGAUGUCCGUGUAUGGAACUCAUUCCAUGUCAGUGAUAACUUUCAUCUAAAUUCAUGACUGAAAAGGUAUUUUCCUAUUAAAGUUAAAAUAAAUAGUUGGACGGAUUGCAUUUCUUCAACCAUUCCAAAUGAUUUCAUCAUGGUACAAUUACUCUCAUAUUUAGAUAGAUAGAUAUAGAUAGAUAUUUCUUACUUUAUAAACAUUUUGGGGGAGUCGGGUUGGUGUGGUGUUUCUUUCCUUAUCUUCCACCUCAGCGGCCUGUGUUCGAAUCCCACCUAGGCCCAUAACCUCUAAAAGCUAAAGAUUUAUUUUCCCUUCAUUACAAUUCAUAAUCAUCCUGCUGAUUGUGUGUUGAAUGAACAGUAAUAAAUAACAGUAAACUCUUAAUGGCAGCCAUGUACAUGUAUAAGUAAUCUCUAUUGGAUGAUUUUCAAUGGACCAUUAUUGUCAACUGUGGAGCGUGUGAGGAGAUAUGUUGCACUUUUUUAUAUGUAAGAUGGGGCUAGUGUCAAGUUUUUAGAGGUGGGAAGAAAAAGGCAGAUAAAUGUUCAAGGGGAAAAUCAAGGAAUCAAGUAGAGACUGAAAACCCAAUCCACAAAUCAGCUCGGACAAGAUUUGAUUCUGGGUUGCUGAGGUGGAAGGUGAAGAAAGUAUCACCGUGCCAACCUGUCUCCCCAAAAUAAAAUAAACUCCUAACUUCAUCACUAUGCCUUACUUUAAAAACUAUAUGUAUUUGUUGUGUCAGUGCUAAAAGGUCCCGUCUGAAAAACUGCAUUAAAUGGUCCUUAUUGGAAAAUACUAUUUAUUUUAAACAUGAAAUUGGAUGAGAAAAUUUGUUUAAAUUUAAAUAUGUUGGCCCUAAAAACUAGUUUGAUAAAUACAAUUAAAACGCAUGUUGUCUUUUCAAUACAGCAUUAUCUUUGUGCUCAGAGUAAGGCCCUAAGAGUUUUCAAAAAUUUUAUUUUUGCUGUAAUGACCUUUUAGCACUGACCAGACGGAUAUGUGCCAUAAAACAGUCCCCGUUUAAAAAGACUACAGCCUAGGGUGCUAGGAAUUCGCAUGCUUUUUAAAAUGGAGAGUGUACUGCAAAUUUCACAUCUUCCUUUUUCCCAUUCAGACAAUCAAAAUACCAAUUCUGUACCCAUCAACACUGAUCAGCUCACCAAUUUCCAUUCCAAACCUCACUGUUAAAAGUUUUUUUUAUCACCCCACGGAAAUGGUUUCCAUGUGCCCUUGUAUUCUCCUAAUGUCUUUUAAUUAGCCUUUCCAACUGUAAUUAUCAUGAACAUUCUAAAUCAGAAAUUUGCUUGGUUUUCAAAUUUUAGCUUACUGUGGAAAUACGCCUUUUCCAGGUAUAUUUUAAUAUCAAAAUUAUUGUUUUCAGAACCAUUUCAAUUUUACUUGGGCUUUUUAUGAAAUAAAUGUUUCAACUGACAGAACUGUUUAAAUUCUGUUUGUGAAAAUGUAGUACUUUGCCACUUGGCCCAUUCUCCCAUUCUCAAUCAUGUUACACUGCCAGAGUUACAUCUGUUUCCCAUCUUUUUACACUGCAGUCUAAUCCUAAGCCCUGCCAGUCUCAAACAUCUUCCAAGCAGUCUCAAACAUCUUCCAAGCUCCUUAUAUAAAGUUCCCUCUUGGAGCCUUUUCAGUCUUGAUCCUAUAAGAAUUAUAAUAAACCCACUAGCAAUAUGAAACAUUAAGAAGCUCUGUCCUUCAACCCCAUGGGAUCCUUAGAGCUCUAAUACUGAUAGUCCCAAGCCCUCAGCCGUCCACUCUACCCUUCCUCUCAGCUCUCAGACUUCCAGCCCCUAGGACUUCCACCCUUGCCCAUCUCCAGUACAGAGUUUG
rnacentral:lncRNA from 1 species